GACGUAGGGCGCGAGCGUUGUCCGGAUUAUUGGGCGUAAAGAGCUCGUUAGGCGGCUUGUCGCGUCGACUGUGAAAUCCCGCGGCUCAACUGCGGGUCUGCAGGUCGAGUAACUGGGGCGAGGCGUAGAAGUUCGGGUAGGGGAGACUGGAAUUCCUGGAUGUCAGCGGUGAAAUGACGCAGAUAGUCAGGAGGAACACCGAGUGGCGAAGGCAGUUCUCUGG
rnacentral:rRNA from 1 species